UUAAGUUAUUAAGGGCGCACGGUGGAUGCCUUGGCACUAGAAGCCGAUGAAGGACGUUACUAACGACGAUAUGCUUUGGGGAGCUGUAAGUAAGCUUUGAUCCAGAGAUUUCCGAAUGGGGAAACCCAGCAUGAGUUAUGUCAUGUUAUCGAUAUGUGAAUACAUAGCAUAUCAGAAGGCACACCCGGAGAACUGAAACAUCUUAGUACCCGGAGGAAGAGAAAGAAAAUUCGAUUCCCUUAGUAGCGGCGAGCGAAACGGGAAGAGCCCAAACCAACAAGCUUGCUUGUUGGGGUUGUAGGACACUCUAUACGGAGUUACAAAGGACGACAUUAGACGAAUCAUCUGGAAAGAUGAAUCAAAGAAGGUAAUAAUCCUGUAGUCGAAAAUGUUGUCUCUCUUGAGUGGAUCCUGAGUACGACGGAGCACGUGAAAUUCCGUCGGAAUCUGGGAGGACCAUCUCCUAAGGCUAAAUACUCUCUAGUGACCGAUAGUGAACCAGUACCGUGAGGGAAAGGUGAAAAGCACCCCGGAAGGGGAGUGAAAUAGAACCUGAAACCGUGUGCUUACAAGUAGUCAGAGCCCGUUAAUGGGUGAUGGCGUGCCUUUUGUAGAAUGAACCGGCGAGUUACGAUUUGAUGCAAGGUUAAGCAGUAAAUGUGGAGCCGUAGCGAAAGCGAGUCUGAAUAGGGCGUUUAGUAUUUGGUCGUAGACCCGAAACCAGGUGAUCUACCCUUGGUCAGGUUGAAGUUCAGGUAACACUGAAUGGAGGACCGAACCGACUUACGUUGAAAAGUGAGCGGAUGAACUGAGGGUAGCGGAGAAAUUCCAAUCGAACCUGGAGAUAGCUGGUUCUCUCCGAAAUAGCUUUAGGGCUAGCCUCAAGUGAUGAUUAUUGGAGGUAGAGCACUGUUUGGACGAGGGGCCCCUCUCGGGUUACCGAAUUCAGACAAACUCCGAAUGCCAAUUAAUUUAACUUGGGAGUCAGAACAUGGGUGAUAAGGUCCGUGUUCGAAAGGGAAACAGCCCAGACCACCAGCUAAGGUCCCAAAAUAUAUGUUAAGUGGAAAAGGAUGUGGCGUUGCCCAGACAACUAGGAUGUUGGCUUAGAAGCAGCCAUCAUUUAAAGAGUGCGUAAUAGCUCACUAGUCGAGUGACACUGCGCCGAAAAUGUACCGGGGCUAAACAUAUUACCGAAGCUGUGGAUUGUCCUUUGGACAAUGGUAGGAGAGCGUUCUAAGGGCGUUGAAGCAUGAUCGUAAGGACAUGUGGAGCGCUUAGAAGUGAGAAUGCCGGUGUGAGUAGCGAAAGACGGGUGAGAAUCCCGUCCACCGAUUGACUAAGGUUUCCAGAGGAAGGCUCGUCCGCUCUGGGUUAGUCGGGUCCUAAGCUGAGGCCGACAGGCGUAGGCGAUGGAUAACAGGUUGAUAUUCCUGUACCACCUAUAAUCGUUUUAAUCGAUGGGGGGACGCAGUAGGAUAGGCGAAGCGUGCGAUUGGAUUGCACGUCUAAGCAGUAAGGCUGAGUAUUAGGCAAAUCCGGUACUCGUUAAGGCUGAGCUGUGAUGGGGAGAAGACAUUGUGUCUUCGAGUCGUUGAUUUCACACUGCCGAGAAAAGCCUCUAGAUAGAAAAUAGGUGCCCGUACCGCAAACCGACACAGGUAGUCAAGAUGAGAAUUCUAAGGUGAGCGAGCGAACUCUCGUUAAGGAACUCGGCAAAAUGACCCCGUAACUUCGGGAGAAGGGGUGCUCUUUAGGGUUAACGCCCAGAAGAGCCGCAGUGAAUAGGCCCAAGCGACUGUUUAUCAAAAACACAGGUCUCUGCUAAACCGUAAGGUGAUGUAUAGGGGCUGACGCCUGCCCGGUGCUGGAAGGUUAAGAGGAGUGGUUAGCUUCUGCGAAGCUACGAAUCGAAGCCCCAGUAAACGGCGGCCGUAACUAUAACGGUCCUAAGGUAGCGAAAUUCCUUGUCGGGUAAGUUCCGACCCGCACGAAAGGCGUAACGAUUUGGGCACUGUCUCAACGAGAGACUCGGUGAAAUCAUAGUACCUGUGAAGAUGCAGGUUACCCGCGACAGGACGGAAAGACCCCGUGGAGCUUUACUGUAGCCUGAUAUUGAAAUUCGGCACAGCUUGUACAGGAUAGGUAGGAGCCUUUGAAACGUGAGCGCUAGCUUACGUGGAGGCGCUGGUGGGAUACUACCCUAGCUGUGUUGGCUUUCUAACCCGCACCACUUAUCGUGGUGGGAGACAGUGUCAGGCGGGCAGUUUGACUGGGGCGGUCGCCUCCUAAAAGGUAACGGAGGCGCUCAAAGGUUCCCUCAGAAUGGUUGGAAAUCAUUCAUAGAGUGUAAAGGCAUAAGGGAGCUUGACUGCGAGACCUACAAGUCGAGCAGGGUCGAAAGACGGACUUAGUGAUCCGGUGGUUCCGCAUGGAAGGGCCAUUGCUCAACGGAUAAAAGCUACCCCGGGGAUAACAGGCUUAUCUCCCCCAAGAGUUCACAUCGACGGGGAGGUUUGGCACCUCGAUGUCGGCUCAUCGCAUCCUGGGGCUGUAGUCGGUCCCAAGGGUUGGGCUGUUCGCCCAUUAAAGCGGUACGCGAGCUGGGUUCAGAACGUCGUGAGACAGUUCGGUCCCUAUCCGUCGUGGGCGUAGGAAAUUUGAGAGGAGCUGUCCUUAGUACGAGAGGACCGGGAUGGACAUACCUCUGGUGUACCAGUUGUCGUGCCAACGGCAUAGCUGGGUAGCUAUGUGUGGACGGGAUAAGUGCUGAAAGCAUCUAAGCAUGAAGCCCCCCUCAAGAUGAGAUUUCCCAACUUCGGUUAUAAGAUCCCUCAAAGAUGAUGAGGUUAAUAGGUUCGAGGUGGAAGCAUGGUGACAUGUGGAGCUGACGAAUACUAAUCGAUCGAAGACUUAAUCAA
rnacentral:rRNA from 3 species